rnacentral:rRNA from 1 species
CGGACAGAGCUGGCGUAUCUGGCCUGCAUUCAGCCGCCGCGCGUCGGGCCCCGGUUUGCCGCACUCCAGAUUGGGAAGGUGGCUGGGCUGCUGGCGUGUCGGUGGUGCAUUUGCAGGUGGAGUGCGCCGAGGCGCUCGGCUCAGCGGCAUGAGCUCGGCUUUGAGGCCAACCGCGCAAGCGGUCUGGUACCCGGGUCGGGGGAGUGUUGUUUGGGCUGAGUGUUCGCUUGGGCACUGGUUUCGGGCCCGGGUGGGUGCCGAGCUGGCGGUGGACGGCGGUCGCGUGCGACACGUGUCUUCAGUCAGUUCGGUCCUGCUCGAGCUCUCGCGUGUCCGGCCUCGGUGUAAAAGCCGGUCAUCUGUCCGACCCGUCUUGAAACACGGACCAAGGAGUUUAGCGUGUGCGCGAGUCAUUGGGCGUUGAAAACCCAAAGGCGCAAUGAAAGUGAAGGUCUGCCUUGUGCAGCUGAUGUGUGAUCCUGGGCGCUGCGGUGCCCGGGCGCAACAUAGUCCCGUCCCGACUGCAUGCAGUGGGGCGGAGACAGA